GACCUGGUGGUGCAUGGUGCACACCCACUUUACUUACAGUGGUUAUAGUGGUACAAAAAAUUGAUGUGGGAGGUCCCCGUUCGAUUCGGGGUCAGGUCA